rnacentral:lncRNA from 1 species
UUUUUUUUUUUUUUUUUUGGGAUAAUUACUUGUAUAUCUAUCGUACGUUUGAAAAUAUCCGAUUUAUUUUUAUUUUUUUUAAAAAAAACUACUCUUCAUAUGUUCCACUGUUAUUGCAAAAUAUCCUCACAGUUAUCUUAUGUUAAGUUAACUUGAGUUAAACGUGAGUUAAAUAUCUACCAUAAUUAAAAAAAAUAAAAUGUCAAUUCUAUCCUUAACUUAAGAGCAAAUAAAAAAUAUUGGUGACGAUAGAGGAAUAGAUUAGAAAAGGCCAAAAGUCAAAAUAAGGACAAAUAAAAAAGUCAGUGAUGAUGGAAGAAUAUAUUUGAAAGGCUAAAAUAGUAAUUUUAUAGAGAUAAUAGAGUUAAUUAACAGAUUUUAACUCUAGGAGUAUAUUAGAAAUAUGUUGGAACGUAGAAAGAGUAUUUUCAAUAUUAAUCUUCUAAAAUGUGUAAAUCGAAAAGUAGGAAAUUUUUCAGAAAUAUUUAAACAAUUGUCCUU